GCUAUGCCAUCACCGUCUCCACCAAAACAUCGUUGUCGUUCCACCAGUCCAUCGUCCGUCGUGCUGUUACGAUCACAUUUCAACUGCGGCAUCCUCUCACAAGAAUUCCAGAGUUCUUCCCUCCCCUUCCCUCAAACGCUUCCCAACCCACGACGGAGGCACGCGCGUUAACAUCUACCUUUUGAGCGACACUCCCCAUGUGCGACAUCCUCUGCCUGCCGCUAAGUCCCCACACCACCGCCCCCACGCCGAGCAAUCCAUGCCCAUCCCGGCUCUUCUUGAUUUUCGUAACUACGCGCCUCUGGCUCGCUCUUCUCAAUUCCUGCUGCAUGUCCGUCGUGCCGCCGUUGCGCGGGCGCAGGGCCAAGCGUCACUAAAAGGCAUCAACAGAGAAGAAGGCGACCGUGGCCGCAAGGGGUAAGCAGAAGGCGCAUUGAGCAUUCUAAUAGUCUGCAACUUUCAUUCAGAACAGGUUUGACCCUAUCUAUAUGGAUGAUGACGUACAUGUUGCCAGGGACAUAAGAGAUUUAAUAGUUGAGCAUAUGCUCCAUAUUCUUGGAAUGGGUAGUUUCUGAAGUCCAAAGCUGACCAAAAGAACGUUUGGAGAACCUUAUGCAUUCCCAGCCAAAUAUUCAUGUCUUACUAUUAUGGUUCAGUAAGUCUGAUUCGUGUUGUACGUGUACUUGUUUCGUAGUAGCUAAUUGCCACUAACAUUUUCAAAUCCAUUUGUGUUGUAGUUGAAGGACAUUUCUAGUACUUUUUUUUUCGAAAAACGCAGGAGAGCUGCGCAUCAUUGUAUUAAUAAGAAGAGGAAAUUAAGGUCCAAGAGGACCAGUACAAAAAA